CAAGGAGGAACUUCCCAGAGUUGCUCAACAGCGUGCUCUGGGCAGGAUACUGGAGAAAAUUCAGAGGGAGAGGGAAGCGGUAUCAGAGCGCCCUGGCUCACCUGUUUCCAAAACUCAGCUAACUGGACUGGACUGCCAUUCAGGGCACAAUGCCCUGGGACAAAGGGGGAGCUUGUCUUGACCAGCGACAGCUGAUUGGUUUUAAGUCAGCACAGAGGACCUGACACCUGGGGGGAAGCGGCAUGACUCACGGGAGAAAAUGAUUUGCUUUCAAAUACAGAAUAAGGAGAUAUGAAAGCAGAACACACACUCUCCAAAGGAAACAGACUCAUUGAAGAAAAAAAUAGAGGAGAGCAGAGAAUGGGAGAAGGAAAAAGGAAGAUGCAAUCAGUCAAGCGGAGAAACCUCCAAGUACGCAAACAGCGCUCAGCCAUCCCAGGGUGCUGAAUUCAGUUUGCCCACAUGCUGCGGACCCUGAGAAAGUCAACAUGCCCCUCUGAGAUGUGUGCUCUUCAUCUUCAUCAAAACAUAAUAAGAGGGCCGACAGUGUUGGUGUAGGAUUGAUGGUGGUGUGAGCCUCCUGGUGUGAAGCACAGGACUGCGUGGGCAGCUACAAUGGCAGUUCCUCUCUUCCUUCACUCUGUCCCCUCAAUCACUGGUGGCUGUAUCCGUGUCAGAAUGCACAUGCUACACCUGAAUGCGAAAACAAAAUAGCAUUGUCUUAUUUCCCGACAAUGAUCUCACUUUGCUUAUGAGCCCCCAUCCUGAGAUUAGCAAGUCCAAGCCACCAGCUUGGUAGAGAACCCUCAUGUGCUUACAUGGGAGAGUGACAGCACAAGAUAUAGAUAUGGGUACAGGCAUUACAGGGAGAAUUUGGGAUGUGAAAUUUGAAAUUGACCUGAAAUUAACCAGGUCUCACUACAUUUAGGGAUGAAUAUUUCAUUACAAUUAAGGAUGAGGUCUUACUACAUACCAGGUGCUUUGGUGAUCUGUUGCUAGCUACAGGCCAAGGUGACUGUC
rnacentral:lncRNA from 1 species